AUGAUGGAUGGUGAGCGUCUAGUUGCCUUGGUGACGUGACGCGCUCUGAUGAUGUCACAGGCCGGGGACUCUGGCGUGCGGCGGGUUGCCAGUGCGGACGUUUGGCGCCGGGACACAGGUAUUUCCUCAGAUGACUGCUACAAUGGUGAUGCUAAUGGAGGAACUCUCCUGGAGUCGAGCAAAAGAACUAUGCAUAGAUAUAACGGGAGAAGUCUAAAGGACGAAACGCGUUGGGCCUCUCCCCAGUGACCUCCUGCUAAACCAUUUGCAUCAGAGAUAAUUCAUCCUUCCAGACACCCAGCAUGCUGACUGAUCAGCCCCUCCGCUUCUUAUGCAGGCAUUAGCGGCGUUCCCUCCUGGGCAGUGUCAGGCAGUGUAAUCAGUGGUGUGUGGAGAAGAUGUGAAGGGUAUUAGCACAUCUCCACAAAUGUCCAUGUAUUUAUAGCACAAUCAUGCUGCAUUCUUACCGUGCAGCUGCAAAUUCCUCGUUGCGUCUGUAAACAAGCGUGGGCUGGAGGGUGAACAAUGCUUACAAUAAGUGAUUAUAAAUAUAUAAAAAACUGAGGCCAGACCAGCACUUUAAUCACUAUUACAAAGGGGCCAUUUAAAAAGGCAACAAAGAAUAUUGAACAAAAGUAAAGAUUUAAAAUGGUCCAUUUCCAAGACUAAAGCAUAGCAAUCUUACUUGUUAAUUACUAUGGCAAGUUACAGUGCUGGAUUUCUACUUAUUAUUCUUGCUGAACAUGAAUAAAGUGCUUAAAGCAG